rnacentral:lncRNA from 1 species
UGGGUUAAAGCAAAAGUCUCAUACAUGCAGUCAAGUUCAAAGACAAGGAUAGAAAAGAGUAACAUAUGAGCAAAAUGAUGGUGAUUUCGAAAGGAAGAUGAUUGAGCUUAUAUGAUGUGACAGGCAGCAAGGAGCCACUCAAUGUGAUGUGGACGGAGUGAAUCCUCUUUUGAGAUUCACUAAGGUCUAUGUAGAGGAGAAGCAAAGACAUAAGAAAGUUAUCUAAAAGGUAGUCACAAAAUUCUCCUUAUGAUGUGAAAACUUUCUCAUUAUCAUGGUUAUAGAAGUGAAGGAGGAGGG